AUUUUAUGAAAUCAAGUUAAUUACCAUUUUCUUUAUUAUUUAUUUCUAUUAAUUAAUAUUAAUGCAAUCUAUGAGCGCAAUUAAUCACAGGUAAAAAUGCAAGGUCAUUUAAAUAACUCUAAGCUACUACCACUACCAUUGCCAUCACCGCCACUACCGUUUUACCUUGGAGUAUACAGGACAAAGAUUGAGAAUCUGUCUUCAUCCUCCCCCAUCAUCCACACACAAAGCAGGGAUAAGAGCCAGCAGUUUGAUGCCUACCCUUCAAAGUUUUGCAUUUACAUGAAUUUACAAUCCUCUUUCCCCUCACCCUUCUCUUCCUAUCAGUCAUUGAGCUCAGUAGAUGCAACUUUCAAACUGCAUUUUGAACUCUCCAUUUCUUUUUGUUUCCAACCCACGUUUUUGGUCCAGGUCAUCCCUAUCUCUUACAAUAGCUUAGUAAGUUGCGUCCCAACUUCUACUCUAGCAUCCCAACAAUCCACUGUCUUCACAGUGGCCCAUGAGGAUCAUUUAAAAAUGUACUUUCUUUUACAACUAAGUGGUUUUCCAUCACAGUUAGAUUAAAAUCUACAUUUUUAACCAGCUUAUCAUGCCCUCCAGGGGUUGACUGCUGCCUGUUUCUCCAGGCUCCUGCAUUGCCUCUUUUCUGCUUACCAACACUGGUUUUAGUUUUCAGGUUGUUGCAGCUGCUCCCCAACUCAAGCCACAUACUAUUCCCUCUCCUUGGGAUGCUCUUCCCUUCCACUCUCUUUCCCUGGCUAACUCCUACUCAUUCUUCAUGUUAAAUGUAACUUCUUCUGAUUUGUCUUCCCUCAGUUUCCCUAAUCUGAAUAGUGUUUCUCUUUUCAUACUUUUAAUUUUCCAUUGUAAUAUUGAUAUCAAUUGUUAAUAAAUAAUCAUUUGUGCAAUUAUUUACUUAAUAUUUGUCUCCCCCAGGACCAUAAGCUCCAUCAGUGGACAUGGUCUGUCUGAUGCACUUACCAGGAGGGGAAUACUAUCCAGGAUGGAACACCAAGGAAACCUCUGAAUUGCUGAAAAUGUAAAAAGAAUCCUGAUACUUUAAAUGAUGUCUAAAAUGGUUUUGUUAAGUCGAAAAACACCAGCUGAGAUUUUGAUUUGCAACUCAUCUUGGGUUGGGCUCCUCAGGAAAUGGACAUCGAGAUGAAGAUUUGCAGGCAGGUAACGUUUGGAGAGUUGAAAUAGCUUCAGCCAUUGCUGUGAAGUCUCCACAAUUCUUUGAAGAAAGUUACUCUUCAAACCGCAACUGCUGUUCAAUAAAAAGAAAAGAUGCUGUGGUCAUGGUGUUUGUGCAAUAUUUCUGCAGUAUCAACUUUUGAUUCAGGAAGAGGGGGGA
rnacentral:lncRNA from 1 species